UACGUAGGUGGCAAGCGUUGUCCGGAAUUACUGGGCGUAAAGGGUGCGUAGGCGGUUAUUUAAGUCAGAUGUGAAAUUCCAGGGCUCAACCUUGGAACUGCAUUUGAAACUGGAUAUCUAGAGUGCAGGAGAGGAAAGCGGAAUUCCUAGUGUAGCGGUGAAAUGCGUAGAUAUUAGGAAGAACACCAGUGGCGAAGGCGGCUUUCUGGACUGUAACUGACGCUGAGGCACGAAAGCGUGGGGAGCAAACAGG
rnacentral:rRNA from 1 species